AUGUACAUGCCUACAUUGUUAAUGCACUGGAUCCCAUCAGAACUCCGCAAUUAGGUGUGCUUGGACUAGAGUAGUAUUGGGAUGGGUGGCCUCAAGGGAAGUCCUAGUGUUUUACAUU
rnacentral:rRNA from 1 species